CAGGGAGACAACAAAAUGUUUAAUAUUAUUAUUUUGUCACCUUAGGUCGAUCGGUAUCUCACGUUUUUAAUUUUUUAAGAAUUUCAUUUCCUAAGUUUUUCUAGGUCACACCCAUUUUUUUUCCUGGGCCAUUAGCUCAGGUGGUUAGAGCGCACCCCUGAUAAGGGUGAGGUCCCUGGUUCAAGUCCAGGAUGGCCCAUAUCUCUAUGUUGGGGGUAUAGCUCAGUUGGUAGAGCGCCUGCUUUGCAAGCAGGAUGUCAGCGGUUCGAGUCCGCUUACCUCCACUGAUUACCACCUCUUCCAUAACCGGUAGAAAGGAAAUUUUUUGAGUUGUGAUCAAAUUCUGAAAGAAUCUAGCUUCCUAAUGAAAUCAUUAAGAUGCUGGAUUCAUUGAAUUAAUUUCAUUGUUUUCAGAGAACCUUGACAACUGCAUAGAUUAUUUUUAAAGACAAUAAGCAUCUUUAAUGAUGCAGAUUUAUUAUUUGUGCGAAUGCAUUAAUAACAAUUCUAUUAAGCUGAUGCUUCAAUUUUUGAAGUUAUU
rnacentral:tRNA from 1 species